rnacentral:rRNA from 1 species
AGUGAACGCUGGCGGUAGGCCUAACACAUGCAAGUCGAACGGCAGCACAGAGGAGCUUGCUCCUUGGGUGGCGAGUGGCGGACGGGUGAGGAAUACAUCGGAAUCUACUCUGUCGUGGGGGAUAACGUAGGGAAACUUACGCUAAUACCGCAUACGACCUACGGGUGAAAGCAGGGGAUCUUCGGACCUUGCGCGAUUGAAUGAGCCGAUGUCGGAUUAGCUAGUUGGCGGGGUAAAGGCCCACCAAGGCGACGACCCGUAGCUGGUCUGAGAGGAUGAUCAGCCACACUGGAACUGAGACACGGUCCAGACUCCUACGGGAGGCAGCAGUGGGGAAUAUUGGACAAUGGGCGCGAGCCUGAUCCAGCCAUACCGCGUGGGUGAAGAAGGCCUUCGGGUUGUAAAGCCCUUUUGUUGGGAAAGAAAUCCAUCUGGUUAAUACCCGGGUGGGAUGACGGUACCCAAAGAAUAAGCACCGGCUAACUUCGUGCCAGCCGCCGCAGUAA